GACGAACGCUGGCGGCGUGCUUAACACAUGCAAGUCGAACGGAAAGGCCCUGCCUUUGUGGGGGGCUCGAGUGGCGAACGGGUGAGUAACACGUGAGUAACCUGCCCUUGACUUUGGGAUAACUUCAGGAAACUGGGGCUAACACCGGAUAGGAGCUCCUGCUGCAUGGUGGGGGUGGGAAAGGUGCGGCGGUUGGGGAUGGACUCGCGGCUUAUCAGCUUGUUGGUGGGGUAGUGGCUUACCAAGGCUUUGACGGGUAGCCGGCCUGAGAGGGUGACCGGCCACAUUGGGACUGAGAUACGGCCCAGACUCAUACGGGAGGCAGCAGUGGGGAAUAUUGCACAAUGGGCGGAAGCCUGAUGCAGCAACGCCGCGUGCGGGAUGACGGCCUUCGGGUUGUAAGCCGCUUUCGCCUGUGACGAAGCGUGAGUGACGGUAAUGGGUAAAGAAGCACCGGCUAACUACGUG
rnacentral:rRNA from 1 species